UACGUAGGUCCCGAGCGUUGUCCGGAUUUAUUGGGCGUAAAGCGAGCGCAGGCGGUUAGAUAAGUCUGAAGUUAAAGGCUGUGGCUUAACCAUAGUACGCUUUGGAAACUGUUUAACUUGAGUGCAAGAGGGGAGAGUGGAAUUCCAUGUGUAGCGGUGAAAUGCGUAGAUAUAUGGAGGAACACCGGUGGCGAAAGCGGCUCUCUGGCUUGUAACUGACGCUGAGGCUCGAAAGCGUGGGGAGCAAACAGGAUUAGAUACCCUGGUAGUCAAGGGCGAAUUCGC
rnacentral:rRNA from 1 species